AAAUACGAUUUUCAUACCGUGAUGCCCGGUCCUGUCAGGUCUUGGCAGCUAAGCAGGGCCGAACCUGGUUAGUACUUGAAUGGGAGUCCACCUUGGAUGACCAGGUGAUAGGGGUUA
rnacentral:rRNA from 12 species